rnacentral:rRNA from 1 species
GAUCAUGGCUCAGGAUGAACGCUAGCUACAGGCUUAACACAUGCAAGUCGAGGGGCAUCGGGAAGAAAGCUUGCUUUCUUUGCUGGCGACCGGCGCACGGGUGAGUAACACGUAUCCAACCUGCCCUUUACUCGGGGAUAGCCUUUCGAAAGAAAGAUUAAUACCCGAUAGCAUAAUGAUUCCGCAUGGUUUCAUUAAGUAAGUAUUACGGUAAGAGUGGGAUGUCGUUCCUAGUUUAGGUUUGGUUGGGUGGUAACGGG